rnacentral:rRNA from 1 species
AGUGAGCGCUGGCGGCAGGCCUAACACAUGCAAGUCGAGCGGCAGCGCGGUGUAGCAGUACACUGGCGGCGAGCGGCGGACGGGUGAGGAAUGCGUCGGAAUCUGCCUCUUUGUGGGGGAUAACGUAGGGAAACUUACGCUAAUACCGCAUACGACCUACGGGUGAAAGUGGGGGACCUUCGGGCCUCACGCAGAGAGAU